rnacentral:rRNA from 1 species
AAUGAACGCUGGCGGCAGGCCUAAUACAUGCAAGUCGAACGCUUGUAGCAAUACAAGAGUGGCGCACGGGUGAAUAACACGUGGGAAUAUGCCUUUUGGUACGGGACAACCUCGGGAAACUGAGGCUAAUACCGUAUGGUCCCUUCGGGGUAAAGAUUUAUCGACAAAAGAUUAGCCCGCGUCUGAUUAGCUAGUUGGUGAGGUAACGGCUCACCAAGGCGACGAUCAGUAGCUGGUCUGAGAGGACGAUCAGCCACACUGGGACUGAGACACUGCCCAGACCCUUACGGGAGGCAGCAGUAGGGAAUAUUGGACAAUGGGCGCAAGCCUGAUCCAGCCAUGCCGCGUGAGUGAUGAAGGCCUUCGGGUUGUAAAACUCUUUAGCCCGCGAAUAAAAUGACGGUAGCGGGAAAAUAAGCCCCGGCUAACUUCGUGCCAGCAGCCGCCGUAA